AACGAACGCUGGCGGCGUGCUUAACACAUGCAAGUCGAACGCGAAAGGGACUUCGGUCCUGAGUAAAGUGGCGCACGGGUGAGUAACGCGUAGAUAACCUGUCUUCAUGUCUGGAAUAAUACGCCGAAAGGGGUACUAAUACCGGAUAUUCUUGCUUUUCAUAAGUUAUGCAAGCAAAGGUGGCCUCUGCAUAUGCUACUGCAUGAAGAGGGGUCUGCGUACCAUUAGCUAGUAGGUGGGGUAAUGGCCUACCUAGGCGACGAUGGUUAGCGGGUCUGAGAGGAUGAUCCGCCACACUGGCACUGGAACACGGGCCAGACUCCUACGGGAGGCAGCAGUGAGGAAUAUUGCGCAAUGGGGGAAACCCUGACGCAGCGACGCCGCGCGAGUGAGGAAAGGCCUUCGGGUCGUAAAGCUCUGUCAAGAGGAAAGAAGUGUACAAUGGCUAAUACCUGUUGUAUUUGACGGUACCUCUAAAGGAAGCACCGGCUAACUCCGUGCCAGCAGCAGC
rnacentral:rRNA from 1 species